rnacentral:rRNA from 1 species
UGGGUAAUCUUUUGAAACUUCAUCGUGCUGGGGAUAGAGCAUUGCAACUAUUGCUCUUGAACGAGGAAUCCCUAGUAAGUACAAGUCACUAGCUUGUGCUGAUUACGUCCCUGCCCUUUGUACACACCGCCCGUCGCUACUACCGAUUGAAUGGCUUAGUGAGGCCUUCGGAUUGAAAUUCGGAGACUGGCAACAGACUCCUGGUUUUGAAAAGUUGGACAAACUUGGUCAUUUAGAGGAAGUAAAAGUCGUAACAAGGUUUCCGUAGGUGAACCUGCGGAAGGAUCAUUACCGAUUUUUAGCGGACCCGAUCUUUGAUCAUGGUCUCGCGAAAACUUGUAUUUAAAACCCCACUCUUAUAAAUUGAAUCAUUUUAUAUUAUGUAUGUAAUAAAUAAAGAUCACUUUCAACAACGGAUCUCUUGGCUCUCGCAUCGAUGAAGAACGUAGCGAAGUGCGAUAAGUAAUGUGAAUUGCAGAAUUCCGUGAAUCAUCGAAUCUUUGAACGCAAAUUGCACU